AGCUUUUAUCUUAUAACAUAAGAGGUGGUUUUGGUAAUCUAAAUAUUAAAUAUUGUUCUGAGAUGCAAGAAGGACAGCAUUAGCCUUUAUGGAUCAUUUUCAGGACUGCAUGACCUAUUCCAUCCUUCAGGUUCCUGU